rnacentral:tRNA from 1 species
GCCGGAGUGGCGGAAUGGCUUACGCACCGCACUCAAAAUGCGGCGAGGGAAACCUCAUGCGGGUUCGACUCCCGCCUCCGGCA